GAUGAACGCUAGCGGCAGGCUUAAUACAUGCAAGUCGAGGGGCAGCAGGGGUGUAGCAAUACACUCGCUGGCGACCGGCAAACGGGUGCGGAACACGUACGCAAUCUACCCAAAACUGGUGAAUAGCCCUCCGAAAGGAGGAUUAAUACACCGUAACUUAAGGAAGUGGCAUCACUAUCUUAAUAUAGCUCCGGCGGUUUUGGAUGAGCGUGCGCCUGAUUAGGUAGNGGUCGGGGUAACGGCCCACCAAGCCUACGAUCAGUAACU
rnacentral:rRNA from 1 species